UUAUUUUGUGACUGAGUGGCGGACUGGUGAGUAACACGUGAGCAACCUGCCUAUCAGAGGGGAAUAACAGUGAGAAAUCAUUGCUAAUACCGCAUAUGCCAUAAAUAUCACAUGAUAAAAGUGGGAAAGGAGUAAUCCGCUGAUAGAUGGGCUCGCGUCUGAUUAGAUAGUUGGUGGGGUAACGGCCUACCAAGUCGACGAUCAGUAGCCGACCUGAGAGGGUGACCGGCCACAUUGGGACUGAGAGACGGUCCAAACUCC
rnacentral:rRNA from 1 species